rnacentral:lncRNA from 1 species
AGAGCGAGCUCCACUCCUCCAUCUGUUCGCCGGGGUCCUCGCUCCCCUGCCGGGGCCGGCGAGACGGCGUGAGGCCGGAGGGGGAUUUGCAAGGAAACCUGCCUGCUUCCCGCUCCCAUUGCUCCAUCCCCGCUGCCUCCUGCCUCCUGCUUCUCUCCUGCGUCUUUCCAACUCUCCCCUGUCGCCACUGGUGUGUGUCUGAGUGUGUGCGCGGUUUUUUUUUUUUAAUUGCUCUUUGCUUUUGCAACCCUGAAGCAAAAGGGGGGGGGGGUAGUUACAGGGAAAAAAAAAGCGAGAAAGAAGCUCUUAGAUUUGCAACACAUCGGAAAACCGGGGGAGCACCCCGCCUUAUCCGAUCUCCAUGCUCCGCAAGGGCCUUCCGGGUUUUAGGACAAGCUUCUCAAUGUCCCGUUUCGCUGGGUUUAGGAUCCGAGGAGUCCGAGCAAAAAGUUCUCCCCCUGGGUCGUAGUGACGGGUGUCGGGGUGGGAGUUGCGGGGAUUUUUCAAGAAGCAGCAGCUACCCCGGCGUCGGUCACUGGGCCGGGGUAGGGGAAAGAGCAAAAUCCCAGUGGGUUUGCGCGAGGGAUCUUCUAGGGUCGAGGCGGGUGUGGGGGGAGUUGGAACCGGGAGACACCGCUUGGCGCAUCUCUCCCUCGGUCUCUACCUCCUGUCCUAUGCCAGCUCCCCCUUUAAUUUUUUUCCUCUCCUUUAAUCUAAUUUCUUCCAACUCCACCUUUGUUGUUACCGGCGUCACACCCGGACCAGCCAAUCCCCGCCACGCAAUCAGCUUGUCAAAAAGCCUCGGCCAUCCCUAGGAAAGCAGGCCGCAGGCGCUGCCCCCCGGCGGCGGCGGGCAGCCGCGAGGGGAGCCCAGCACCCGGUUCUCGCUGCCCCGGGUGGCAGCGGGGCAGCCUCCGACAAGACGUCCCUUGGUUCACUGUCCUGCAGGCCGGGGAUGAAAGGCCUGGACAGGGUCCACCACCCACUCUCCCACUGCCACGGCCGUGGUUGACUGUCUUUGCCUCCCCUUUUCAGAGGAAAGGUUAUCAGGACAGGACGCAGGGAGCCAGAAGACCAUCUGAAGGAAGCCUGCUUCCAACGGGCCCAGCCUCCAGCCACCGCUCCUGGGGCAGCGCCAUUGCUCCUGGCUCUCAGGCUGCCAGUCUCCCACACCGACGCUCUACUGCCCGCAUCUCGGCCAGCUGGGUCACCCAGCCCCUUUCGACUCUCCCCUGGCACGCAGCCUUCUCCUUCACUCGGCCUGCCUCGCUGCUGCUGUAAUUCCUCUUGUCUCCUGGGAGAAAUGAGAUUGCUUUCCCAGGACUUCCACAUCCCACUUCUAUCAGGUUUCACCAACAGGGAGGAAGCCCUGUCAAGAUCUGGUGUGUCCUGUUUUUUUUUUUUUUUUUUCCCAGAGGGCACUGGCAUGUAGGAGAAGCGGAUUUACCACUAGUAGAUGUUAAUGAAAUUUCAGCUUCUAGGCCCCUAACUUGCAGGACCUGCCCAAGGCCCUGAACUUAAUUUUGUUUUCAUCAUUUGGUAUUUUUUUGUUAAAAGAGCCACCGACCACCUCCCCGCUACCCCAGAACUGCACGUGUUUCUGGCCCUACAAACCCAGAUCGUCCCUUGGAAUAUACACAGGGCAAUUUGUGUAGGAUCACACUGCGCUAAAAGUGAGGCAUGGUGGGCUAGGCGCACUGGCUCACACCUGUAAUCCCAGCACUUUGGGAGACCAAGACAGGAGGUCUUAAGUGAUUAAGCCCAGGAGUUCGAGAUCAGCUUAGACAACAUAGCAAGAUGCUGCCUCUACAAACACACACACCCCCUAUUAUAAUAUGUCAAAAAAAAAAAAAAAAAAAGGAAAAGUGAGGCAUAGAACUGACUUUAUUGUUUUGACUAGGAAAGAGCAAAGGGUUUGGAAUCAAAAGUCCCAACUUCCCCACCUUCUUAAUAGUGUGUGAAUCUGAGUGCCUUAUUAACCUUCCCUGGUCCCAGUUUCGUAUCUGUAAAGUUAGAAUAGCAAUCCUGUUUAAUUUGCUUCUCUCACCAGGGAUCAGAAGGCCAAAUGAGAUGAUGUAUGUAAAAUUGUAAAGUCCUCCACAGAUGGCACUUGCCACAUUACAGAGAACUUGAGACCCCCCCCCACCAAUAACGUUCCAAAUCUUCCACAUGCAGAUCUGGAGUCCAGGUGUCCUGGCUCCUGGCCCUGAACUUUUUGGCUGGGCCAAGGGGCUUUUCGGUAAAGUGCUUUGGAAUAAAACAGGAUGAACAU